rnacentral:rRNA from 1 species
UACGAAGGGGGCUAGCGUUGUUCGGAUUUACUGGGCGUAAAGCGCACGUAGGCGGAUCGUUAAGUCGGGGGUGAAAUCCUGGAGCUCAACUCCAGAACUGCCUUCGAUACUGGCGAUCUUGAGUCCGGAAGAGGUGAGUGGAACUCCUAGUGUAGAGGUGGAAUUCGUAGAUAUUAGGAAGAACACCAGUGGCGAAGACGGCUCACUGGUCCGGUACUGACGCUGAGGUGCGAAAGCGUGGGGAGCAAACAGG